UACAUAGCAGUGAUGGGGUAUCACUGCUAGCUGCAAAAUGGUGACUUUCCAUUAGAAAUACUGUAGAAGAGCUUUCAUAAUUAAAUUUAACAGGAUUCCUCUCCUGUAACAUAUUACACAUACACACACACACACACAAUUAGUGAAGAUACUUAUUUCACUAUGUUACUAUGGUCAAUUCUGUCCUGAACUGACACUGUUUAGGGGGAGAGUUGUUGUUUCUGGACUAUUAUUUUCCACAGUACUGAAUUUAUAAUUUUUCUUUUUUCACUAAUGUGCAAUACAACUGGCUAUACUUUAGAGAAAUCUUUUUUCUAAAUGCUUUGUGAGUGAGGUGGCACUUGGUUUCAAACCAAGACAGCAUUUAUUUCAGGGAGUACAUUGUUCAGACUAAAACUUCUUAAUUUGAAAAAGUACAGAAGCUAGGCCACUUUGAUAAUAAAGGAAACUUAUUGACUUAUUGCUGUUUUAAAAACUAUUUAGCACAUGUGCUUCCCCCCUUCUUUUUUUUUUUUUUUUUUCAAUUUACACAAAUUUCUCUGGUAUUUUCAUUUUUUGUGAAGGCUUCCUGCUUGAUUUCCUUCAGAACCAUUUAGUACAUCUUCUAUUUCCAUAGACUUAUAAUUCCACAGGGAGGAGUAAAACAAAUGCCAUCUAAGCUAUAAACUAUAUACCAAAAAAUCUUUCCAUCCAACACUGAAGAAGUCCUGUGAUAACAUGGAAGUCAAAUAAUUAGGGCCACAAAAUUUGGAUAAGGGGGAUUAGUAUUUUUGUUAUAUAUAUAUAUACAGAAGAGAGAAAAAUCAAAGCUUUCAUGAGAUGCUAUAUAUAUGAGCAUGGUGUUUCACCACAGAGAUGUAUAUAGAGAAACACAUUUUGAAAUUUCCCUCAGCAUUAAUCAGCAUAUGAUCAUGGUUCAAAUAGAUUAGACUUCCAGAUGCCAAGUAGGCUUCUGAGAUAGACUGACAACCAAUUAUAAAAGCUAUGGAAAUAGAAAUUUGGCAUAGAAAACAAUGAGGUUGUCUGAUGGGCUUGUUCUCCCUCAUGGUGCUCCUGUAGUGAGUGGUACUUCCCUAACUACUUCUCAUGAAUUCUUUACACCAACUAUAGGGAUUCAUACUGCACUCUAACUGUAUAUUACAGCUAGAUCUCUGUUUCUGACCUUGUGCACCUUUUAAAUGUUUUGCAAGGAGUGGUGUGAAGGGAGUAGAAAAUACUGAUUUAUGAGGUAUGGUAAACUAGCAAGCUAAUAUUGAGUAGUUUCCUCUCUUCCUUGAAAGCUCAAGGCUGCAUUCUCAGAGGAUUUAUUGUGGCUGACUUUGGAAAAACAGAGGUUGCUCCAGUCACUGAUGGUAAACUAGUAGCUACAUGUACCUAUUUUACAUCAAUGGCUCCUUGUCACAGUAGGCAAAACAGGUUUUUUUUCAUUCUCAGGAUGAAGGAAUGAAACUGAACUGUGUUUCCUGCUGGAACUUGCUAGGAAAGGGGAGAAAAAACAGUAGGAAGAAACAGCAAAAAUAUCUGAACAGUAUAUUACCAUUGCCAGCUGUCCGUUCGCCCAUGUCUACAACUAACACUGCUUUCUAGACAACCUCAGGACAUCACAUUUUAGCCUGUUUGUCUCUUACAAAUAAUUGGUAUUUCAUCUUCAAGACUGGGGUAUUAAGGAAUAAUCCUCCCUGCCUUAAAAACUUGUCUGUGGAGCCUGCCUGUGAAGAGAAGGAGAGGAAUUCUGGGACUGAUAGCGUCACUUGGUAAUUGACUGACACUAAAACGGUCAAUGAAAUACAAAAUACUGCUCAAUGGCAAAAGUAAUCAUAUCUAUGAAGAUACAAAUAUGAUUGCAACAUUUGUUACAAUUGAAGGAAUCACAAAAUUGCUAUGAUGGUUCUUUGAAGAGAGCUUAAUGCCCAGUAAUCUCAGAAAGGCAAAAUGCGAUACUAGAAGUUGUUAAGGAAGGAAGGUAGAAUGUAAAAGAAAACAUCAUUAAGGCAGCAUAUAAAUCACUAUGACAUUUAUAUUUUUUUAGUAAUUCAGUGCAUUCUAAUAGUCUCAUCUGAAAAGUGUUAGGCAGAAAUAGAAAAGCAGGAACAAAUGUGACAAGGAUAAGCAACAGUGCAGAACAGCUCUGUUUUUAAGGGAGAUUAAACAGAGUAAGACUUCCAAUUUGGAAAAGCUGUGAUAUGGUAAAAGUUUAUAAAAUCAGGAGUGAUGAUCAUUCAUUAGCUCUCAAAGAGAGAGCAAGAGGUUGUCAAGUGAUAUUUUUCAAGCAGCAGGUUUAAAACAAGUGAAUAACUUUUUUAAUAUGAUUGCAAUUAAAAUGUAGAACUCAUUGCCACAGGGUAUUAUGAAGAACAAAGGUAGAAAUGGAUUCAGACAAAUUUAAGGAAGACUAAAAAAAUCCCUCAGGGGCUGUUAAAUACAAAUAUCUGAAGUCAUGCUUAAUUUAAGAAAUCUUUAAACUAGUAAUUAUAAGAUAUUUAUAGCAUUAGAAUUUGUCUUGUUUUCAUAUAACUUCUUUAAGCAUCCAGUGUCCACUGCUGCUCCCUCUCAGAUCACUGUUUCAGGUCUUGCACUACAGUCCUUUCAGGUGCUCCUCUAUCACUGUCUGCUAAAAGAAAUGCCAGUGGUCAGAAGGAAAGAAGGCCACCAGGUAGUGUAGAACCUGUUUUGAGGAGUCAACUGGGCUAUAAAAACAACAAAUUCUUCUUUUUUUUCUAAAUGUUGCCUGCAGAGCUUAUGAACUGAAGCUUUUCAAAGCUUCUGAAACUAAUAUUUCUGUUCUUACAAAUGAUCUGCAUGUUUGUGAGGCAGAGAGAAUGAGUGUGUGCAGCUGCAUUGUGAUCUCUCCUACACGUGUCUUAUCAAUGUGAUUCCAUUGCAACCUCCAUCCCACAGGUAUACUCAGGGAACUGUUCCUACACCUAGUUUGAUCCUUGCUUUCAGCAAACAUUAUUCUAAAAUGUGCCAGCAGCAUAGAGGUAUUUCUUGUGAGGUACCAGUGACCAGAUGGAAAGAAAAAUUUGUCAUUCAACUGAACUUUUGGAUGUAUUAGUCUCAAAACAGUUCAGGAAAAUACUCUUCUGUGUGUAAACCACAAAAUAGAGAAAAAUAUAAAGAUUUAGAUACACGCCUCACUAACAUUUUCAAAUACCUCUAAAUUAAUCAUACUUUGUUCUAUUUUUAAUUCUGCCACAUUUUUGUGGCUUUUAAAUUUACCAAUUACAGUGACAAGUUUUGACUAACCAGUCAAAACUUUUUUAAAAUUAUUUUUUCCUUAAUAAUUUUCUAAUUUUUCUGAAUAGGAACUUUUAAUGCUGCAUUUCUGCCAAGAUUUGUCAUUGAUGUGUGAGUCCAGAGAUGUGAUUGACUAUGAAAUUUUAUUCUUCACAAAGUAGGUAAGGAAGUAAGGAGAAACUAGUAAUUUCUACUUAAUCUUUAAAAAACUGGAAAAAUACUGAAGAACUGCUCUCACAAAUCCAGUGUACUCUGUUCCUUCUGUAGAUCAAGACAAGGCUGUAAAAGAACAUAAGACUGUAGCUUGCAGACCAAAGCCAGAUUUUCCACACAGUACUAUCUGACCAUUACUCUUCUAUUCUGCUCAUUAUAAUUUAAGUAAAGCACACUCCUUGUCUAAGGCUUCAAAAGGUUCACCUCUCUGCUUUCUCUGUUUUGGUUGGCUUUAAUAAUCAGUCAAUAGUAGCAAUACCCUUAACUACAGAUAGUGUCCGUCUAGUCCAAACACAGAGGAAGCAAUUUAUUCUUAUUUCAAAAUUAUACUCUGGUAUAAAAUCUCAUUUCUAGAUAAUAUUACUUUAGGAAAGAAUUUUCUUUAGGAAAGAAAAUUUCCCUGAAAUGUAAUUGCAGGUUUUGAAGUGGACAUUAUAGAAAAAUAGACAACUUCUCUACUUUCUCUUUUGUUAACCCUUGUGAAUUUUAAAUUUAAAAAUAAGAAAGGAGCAAGUAAUGUCUUACCUUUUAAAAGUAAUUUGUUUCAUAUUGUUAAGCAGCAGUUUUGCUAUUACAUAUUUAUUCACUUCAAAGCAUGACCAUGCUUCUUCAUCUCCAAAGAACAAUUUUAGCACUCUACUGCUUUAACACAGUAAAGCUGGAAGGCAGUCAAGGGAUGUGAGGAAGUAAUUUGUUGUACAUUUAAUGGUGUGAAGUAUCCACCAGGGAAAACUUAAAAGAUUUUUCUGUUUCCUCACAAAAGUGUCCAUGAGUGAAAUUCCAAUUUCCUGAGUGGUUCUCUGAUUAGCUUUUCACAACUCUGUCCUGUGUCAGACAAUUGGCAAGAAAACAAAGAUCAGGCUUUUGUUGAUAUUCAUGAACAUUACACCUUUAUCAUCAUCCCAUUGGUGACGUGUCCCAGAUUUGCUAUGAGGGAAGCUCCACAACUGCUGAGCUUAUCUUCAGGAAGCAGUCCUGUGGUGCUCUGUAACUGCGUGAGGCUGGAGCUAAUCUGCUGCUUAACUCUGUUCCUACGGGGAUGCCGAGCACUGCAGCAGCUGAGCGCCAGCUCUGCGCAGCUCAGGCGCUCCGUGGGCCACAAGCUGCUGCGCAUCUGAGACAUCACUCACCCACUGGUUCCUCAAAGCUCCCCUUGGGCCUCCAUCACACAGGAGCCUGCAUUAGCAGACUCUUCUGUGGCCCAGGGUUAAAAUGAAGAAUGUCUUUCCUGAAAUCCCCAUCUAGUUCUUCCUUAGAAAAUAAAUACAAAGCUCAACAAAGAACAAAGCCCUGUUUAGAGGAAGCUUUUAAGGGAUGCUAUGCUAGAGUUGUACUACACAAUUCUCAACACACUGAGGAGUUCAGUUAAUAACACAAUGGUCCUUUAAGCAAUAAAACCUCUUUAUUUUUUGAGAGAAUUCCUGGAACUGAGGGAGCAGAUUGAUUUACUUGUAACCUGCACUGAAUCGGGUAUUGCAUAUUAGAGCUGACCUUCUGUCAUUAAUCUGGUUUAGUAUUUGCUUUCCAUUAAAUAGAGAAAGGCUUCCAAAGAGCCCCUUGAUGCAUCUUUAUGAGACAUUUGUGAGUUGCUACUUGUCUUCAUACCACCAUGUCUCUCUGUGUCAUGAAGUCAAUCUUAUCCUUAGUUUUCCUUAAAUACUUUCUUUCAUAAAUACAAUGUUCAUCACAAAAAAGGGUGUUUUGAUUAUUACUAAAAUAAAGCUCCUUGGAUAAGUGGCUUUGUAUGAAACUUAUAUUUUAUUUCUGAGAGCAGUGUUUAACCAUAAAAAAACUGUCAUGCACUCCAUUCUGCUUACAAAUAGCAAUUAUAUCGCCACUGUGGACAUCCUGUUUAAGAAAAAAAUAUGUGGGAUUUUUUUCUUGUUUGGGCAGCAGGAAUAGAUGCAUGGAUUUGCAUACUCACAAGGUUCUUGUGUGUUGCAAUGAAAAUGAAAUUAUUCUUGUAUCAACCUGAAAAUGUAUUCUUAUAUAAAAUCCCACACAUUCAGUCUUAAUGCUAAGGUAUUAGGGUUAACUAACAGUUUAUUAAGUGCUCUUAGAGAUUUCUUCUAUCAAUGUAAGCAGAAAUUAUUUCAGCAUUUAGAAAGAGCAGUAUGUACUAAAGUGGUAGAGAGUUGGGUUUGCUAUGGCUAUUACUUUAACAUGUUUUCUGAUUAAUUCAUUAGUGCGUCAUUCCUCAAAAAGGAAAUGACACUUCACGGCAGUAGUCUGAGAAAAUCCUGAUAAUAUUUUAAUCUACAGUAUUUUCAGCAAACUGCUCAAGUUUUCAGCAAAAACGUUUAUCCGAUGGAGUUAUCUUUAAAAAAAAAUUGCAUUAAGUCUGCCUCACUGCAUGUCAUGCAGAACAAAAUUCAAUAUUUUGGUCAAUAACUUGGCAGCAAGAUAAAAAUGUAUGAUCUUCCACAACAGGUCAGUUCAAAUCCAGUCUCCUGUGUGAAACCAUCCCAUACAGAAAGUGAAAGGAACGUUUAUAUGAAGAAGGCAGGCUUAGUGACAUUUUCUCCAGCUUGUAGUAGUCAAGAGCUUUACCAGUUUUAGAACCAAGAAAGUUAUUUUUUAUAAUGCCUUUUAAAAAGAACCAAAAUCAUACAACAGACAAAGACAGUAGAAGGAUACAUUUGUUCUUUAAGAUGUUGAGUCUGAAGGUGUUGUGGUUUGCCCUGAAACACAGUGGUGUUCCACUUGCCAGGUGACUUUCAAUUGUUUUUUUUAAUCAAGGAAGACUCUUUAGUUUGCACUUACCAGAUGAGCACAGGAAUUGUGCUUCUAUCAACUCAAAUAAAAUGCCACGCCACAAAAAAGCAGUUGAGAAUUAUUUUUAUCCUCCCCCAUCCUACCUGUCUACCUCUGUGUCUGAGAUCAUUAUCUGGUGUACUGCAGUGCUGGUGUGCUAUCACUCUGGAGAUUCUCAAGGAAGAGUGAAAUCCCUCAGGAGAAAGAUAAUGGUCACCAUAACUGCGAUGUUUAUGGCUGUUUCUCAGAUUCAGUAGCAUCAGAUGGCUGUGUGUGAGGUAAGUGAUGCAGUCCACUGUCACUGGGGAGCCAUAUGACAUUGCAAUGACUUCUGAAAAGUCCCCCUAGGCUGGCUGUUAGUUCCCUAACAAAAUAAUGCUACUACUCAACAGCACCUAAGGGUCUCCUUUUCUAUUGAAAUGCCGAAAGAGAAAACAAAGAAGUGAAGGACCUGCAUUCUGUAGUUUAUAGUAUUUGUUUUGUUCUAACACAAGAUAGCUGUACUGAAGGAAAAGAAUAAAGAAGCUAGUGAUACUGUGAAAGUCAGAGGCGAAAAGGGAGAUUGGCAAGCACUGAGCCAGAGGCUGUAAUCAAUUAACUGAUUGCUGAACUUCAGCCCCCUACAUUACAUCUGCCAGCAGCACUGAAAGAUGUACCGCUGAAAAUUCCCCCUCCCAGAACCACAAAUCCUGUGAAAUUCUAGUCAUAAAUACUUUAAAAGGAAAGGGUCUGCUCUAGUAUAGAUUUCAUCACCUUGAUAAUCAGCAGCCUUUCAAUAGUAUCCAUUUAUAAAUAGAAGAUCCUUGGAAUAGAGAGAUGUGAAUGCAGAUGUCUGACGUAAUAAAGCUCAAACUAAUCUCCAGUAUUUUAUUAAGAAAUCAUUAGACUGAACUGCUUCAGGUGAAAUCUUUCUCCAUUGAAGUUAGCAGCAAAAUUCCCUCUGACUUCAGACAGCAAGAAAUAAAACCUUUUCAAGACAGUUAUUAAGCUGCAGAACAGCUAAAAGCUUCAGGGUGGCACCAUCAUAUUACAAGAAGUGAAAGAUAAAGAAAAGAAGAGCUGGUUGGCUGAGUUUCCCAUGCAACUUCAAGAAGAGUCAAGCCUCUUUUAGCUCACCAGCGACAAAGGCAUACGUGCAAAGUUUUUAAAAGAGCAUAGGCUGCAGUGAAAGCUGGAUGCUACCAGCACUAGGUUCUUCUCUUCCUCUCUGUCUGAGUAAAACUCAGGUUAUGACUUGCUUUCAACAUCCUGUCAAGAUCUGCUAAGUUCUUUUGUGAUCCAGCCUUUGCAGCUGUGCUGCACAAGGUCUUUUAUCAUGGCUUGUGCUGUGUUGCAGACCCAAAAUAUACCUGUUGUGCUUAACAGAUACUGCAAAAACCAUUGUCACUUCAAAGAAGAUCUCAUUUCUGACAGCAAGGAGAUGAAGCCAGUUAUUUCAGUAACACAGCUUUCAGAUCUCAAAUUUAAAGAUUUCUCAAAAAAUUUGGUUGAGCCAAUUUUCCUCUUUUAGACUAUGCACUAAAAGUCUGCUUUUUGGAAGACUCUUCCCACACCAGCUGUCUUCUGCUAUAUCACUGCAGCACUGGCUGUGGUAGGCAUGCUGGGAUGGGAAAGAGAUGUCAAAUAGAGAGGAGACAGAUAUGCACAUAGGAGAACUGAACUUAUCAGUAGUGUAUGGCAAUUAAAGGUAUCUUAAGACACACCCAGUGAUUACAGGAAGAUGGAUGUUUCUACCAUAUUUCCCUGUGAGAUGAGUGUAUGCUUUGAAAUUUCUGGUAGGAAAGAAAGGCAGCAGCAAUAAAGUUAGCACACAAACACCAUCUGUGAAAGCCAGAAAGCAUCUAUAGAUCCUCUGCAUGCUAAAGGCUUAUUACAUCAUGUAUGAGAAGGGAUAGAAAAAACCCAGAAAGAGGAAGGAGAUAGGGAAAUACAGAGUAAGCCUUCCCCCACCUCCCCAAAAGAAGCAUGAUAAAGCUAAGAAGUAAAUAUGAAUUAAAAAAUACUGUACAGACCAUCUGGACACUUAUAUGUUACUGCCAUACAAAUCAUAUGCAUUUUCCAUGUUGUGUAGAUAAAAUGAAUUAUUGCCAAUUAACACAAAGCUUCAGCCUGAGGCACUAUCCAUGCAUAUGUAAAAACUACAUUUAUCCUGAAGACACAAUUUAAAUAGAAAACCUGUAAGAAGGUUGCACUCCAAACAAGGCGGGAAUAUGCUGCGAGUCAGGAGAAUUUUGCUGGAAAUCUGUAAAACACAUCUAUUGCCUACAGAAAGGAGCAAUAAUAAACCCCUCCAGCUCAUGCUCCUUGCUUGGUACCCAAUCUUUAAGUCAGUUCCCUGGAUUCCUCUGUCUCUGCACAAUAAACAUCACUUAACAUAUCUAUUUUCUUCCCACUGUGCUCUACUCCCAGUACACACCAGCAGGCAACACCUGAAUUUACAGGAGAACACAAAGGCAGAGUCAUCUAAGGUGAAACUUUGAUUAUCCCAGUGGUAAGUUUCCAUCAUUUCACCCAACUACAAUGACUCCAGCUCUCUGGGACAUUUCUCUUCCCAGGGCCACUCACUUUUCCUCCUGUGUUAUGCAAUAUCAGUAAAAAAAAUUAUACUACAAGGUCAUCUCUGGUGCUGUUGGUUACAAAUUUCUCAGUGGAGGUGGUCAUUGAGGAGGCUUUGUUAAGCUGCCAUAGCCAGAACAGCUCUCCCCUCCCCACCUUCUUUUUUUUUUUUUUUUCUCUAUACCCUCCACUCUGCUGCUUUAUACUUUACAUAUCCUCUAAAGACCUCUCAGAGUGUAAUUUAAUUGCUGCUGGGGGAAGAAAAGUGCCCAUGAAUGGAAAAUUCUACUUUCUGCUCUUUCUAGUAGACCAUAGCAGAUAAUAUUUUUCUCUGGAGACUUCUUUUUAUUUAUUGAUAGAAGGUAUCCAUCUCAACUCACCAUUUCCAUGCCUGUACCUUCACUUGUAUUUUUCAUUUUGAGCACUUCAUAUACAUGCUGCUAACUGUGGAUUGCAGUGUUACAUGGUUUUAUCCCUGUAAUGCCAUGAUGAAUUGGGAAAUGUCACUGUACUGACUUUAUAGGCAACACAUUAAGCAUCAAUACAUUGUGAGCUCAAGCUUGUGGAAAAGCCAUUCAUUACAAAUGUGCUAAUUCUCUAUAAGCAUGUGCAAAGCUUGUCCCAAAUGCAGCAUAACUCAGAUCUGGCUUUUCCUGGGAUGGUUCUGUAACAUACUUAAAAAUAACAGAAAGAAAUUAAAUGUUACCUUCUUUUACUAUAUACUAAGUUUAUGUUAAACAUCUACCCAUUUUUGUUGACUUAAUUUUUAUAACAUUUUACCCUAGUUUUUUACUAAUUUUCCCAAAUUUACAAUGAAAAAUAUAGCAAAAAAUAAAUGGAAACUUAUUUAUUUUUCUUUUAUCUUAGGCUGACUGAUGGAAUAUCUUUGCCUUCAUUUCUUUCAGUAUUUUUGGAUGUGAUUCUUGAUUUAAUAUAGCAUCUUUCAUGCUUAGGCAUCUCAGAGAGUGUUUAACAAAAAAAAUAACACCACAUCUGCUGCAGUGUAAUUCAAGGUGUGUAGGAUUGAAAGGAUAGAGGAAAGCGUGUUUCAAAAGGACAGAAUGAGAAAAAGAGGAAUGCAUUAGCUAUCAUUUUUACUUCAAAACCUUGUGUUUCAGAACCAUGAGGUGCAGCAAAUUACACUUAAACUCAGCUAUUAGUGUUGAUAUAAGAGAUUCUGUUGUGACAACAUUGGAGUAAAUACCAUAGGUAUAUUCAUGAAUAUAAAAUUUGAUAUGUAGCAAAUGCCUGUUUAGGAACAAACCUAAUGUCAUUAUAGAUUUUGGAAAUAUUGGCUGACAUAUUUGGCAAUGCACUGUCAGGAUGAAUUAGAUCCCACCUUUACUCACAGAACGAUCCUGUCGCAAAUAGAAGAAACUAUCUUGCUCUGUUGCAGACUGCAACCCAUUGUCUGUGCCUCAAGGGUGGCAAAAGAAUGACCCAGGCACAAAGAAACAUGUCAUGCCAAAGGUAAACUGAUGCUGUGCGCAACACUGUUAAAAAGUAUUUCUCAUUAUUGGUCCAAAAUACAACGGACUUCAUUCCCUUUUGUCUAGUUUUGGACUCUCCACCCUGAGUAAACUCACAGCACACAUCUAUGCCAUGCCUUCAUCUAUUUCUAGUCAGCUUUAUAUUUUGUAAAGUAUCAGUUUGGGCCUACCACUUUGCAGUCUUCAUUAUUUUUAACACCACAAUAUCUCAAAAAAAACCAAAAAAAAGGAAAGUGGAAGUAACAGUACAAUAAAGCACACAAUAAGUUUAGAUUUUAAACAACAAAAUAAAACAAAACAAAAACAAACAAAAAAAAACCAAAAAAAAAAAAACAAAACCAAAAACUAAAUAACACAAAACAAAACAACAAGAAGAAACUUAUUUAGGGACACGCUUCUUUAGAUUUUAAACAACAAAAUAAAACAAAACAAAACAAAACAAAAAAAAACAAAACCAAAAACUAAAUACCACAAAACAAAACAACAAGAAGAAACUUAUUUAGGGACACGCUUCUCUCCAUACAGCAGAUGAGAAGGGUUUAGGAAUUGAAAAUGGGAUUCAAAACUAUGAUAUAAAUCAGAAUAUUAAGUCAGAAUAGGUGUGAUAAAAGUUGAAGUACACCUGAAAUUCUGUUCCUCCUGAGGAAUUCGAGUAUUUAUCUCACAUUGUACUAAGAUAUAUUCAGGAAUCUCAGUCAAUGGCUCAUACAGAGAUUUUUUUAUUCUUGCAGAAAUCCACAAAGGAAAAUUUAAAAUCCCAAAGAGCCUAAUUAAUUAUGAAAUUUGCUUCUUAGCAAAAAUUAAUAAUUAAUCAUACAUCCUUGCUCAGGAAAAUCAUCGGUAACCAGGUGCAUAAUUUCUUGUUUAGCUGAAACAUGAAUGUUGGGAACCCGGAAUUGUUUUGAUACAGGGCGUUUUGUUAUACUCGCUUCAUGCUGAAGUUUUAAUAAUAGUAUAACCACAGUAAUUACAUAGCAACUGCUAAUGUGAACAUAACACAUGUAAUGGAGAGACUUGUAUAGCCUGUAGAAAUUAGGUGCCAAGGGUGGGGUUUGUCUCAUCUAAUUUUAGAGCUCUAAAGUGUUCACGUCUGUCUGCAAGCUGGUCAUCCUUAGACUUUUCAAAAGAGGAAAACCAGUAUUCCUUGAUAUACAGCUGACCUAUUUCAAAUUUCUGCUUUGAGACAGUGUGAACUGUACCCCAAAAGUCCACCAUCUCUCUCCAGAGAGAUGAGGGUUUAGCUGGGAUGUAGAUGCACGUGCUAUAGGCAUUUAUAUUUAACCAAAAUGUGGUCUACCUGCAUUGCAUUAUCUGAGUUUAUUAGGAAAUCCUUUGUAAAAAUCCCAAAUACAUAAGGGCAAUAAGUAUUAAAAAUUUAUUCCUUGGAACACUCCUCUAGGCAAUAUUUAUAGUUACUGUGCUGUCAGUCCCCUGGCAAUAUAAAGUUAUGAGAAAGGAAGUGAAGCACAGAGCAGUCUGUGGAGAACAAAAUUUAAGUAAAUAUGAAUUUUUUCUGGAGUAGUGAUUCAGAAUCUGUUGUCCCAGAAUCUGAAACUCGUACGGCAAUUUUAGACUGGUUUAGUUAGGCUUGAAACUCACGAAAACAUUCCAUUUUGUUCAAGGAAAUCUAAAUCAAAUGCUAGUCAUGAAAUAUCUUUGCAAAGUGGGAUUUAGGAAAAUUUCCUCUUGUUACCACAAAUAAAAAUUACAUGCAAAAUUCUGAAAGAAAGCACAACUGCUUUUUCCUAAAACAAUGUCACCAGGGCAUAAUUGAUGUUAUCUUUUCCAUGACAACUUGAGGGAUUUUUUUUUUUUUAAUUGUUUUAUCAGCUGUAUUAUUUUUCCUUUCUAACUUACUGACUUCUACAGUGAAAGCUGAGUUCUAGACAUGAUGCACAACCUGUGUAUGUAAAUGACAAUGGAUUAUUGUUGUUCUUAUUUUCUCUUUCAAAGCUGAAAAUAUUUUUUUAAAAAAUCAAUAAAAUAUUUUAAAUUGUUUGACAUAACCAGCUUCAUAGGUGUUGUAAUUAAAAUCCUGGUCAGCACUAGAUCCUCCAGAUGUUAUGAUUAGUUCUGUGAAUUGGCCUAGUCUGGGAAGUGUCUCUGUAUAUUGGCCUUCCUCUUCCAGGACAGGUUCUUUGUUUGAACUAUACUCAACAUUUACAAAAAGAAAAAUUUUGGUAUCUGAUAUCAGAUUGCUAUCAAUGAUGUCAGAGACAAAUAUGAUUGAAGUAACUCAGACUCAAUAUUUUGCCAAUAACAUUGCUGGUAUACACUCUGCAGUACAUCUAGCAUCUGAAGCAUUUGAAAUUCCUUUACUACCAAGCUUAAGAAUUUGCAGACUUGAAGAGCAUCUUUCAGAUGUGGGAUCUGUGCAUAGAUUCAGUUCUUCCAAUCUUAUUUCAAACAUAUAUUGCAUUUUUUCUUCUUCUUGUGAGACAAAGACACUUUGUAAUAUGAAAAAAACAAUUCUAAAACAACGUUAUUAUUCUUAAGAAUAGAAUUUAGCAGAGUAUAGUUGUAUGUAAGCAACCAUUUGUCUGGGUUUGGCUUCAUUAUUUUGGCUUUUGCAUACAACUUAAUAGAGUUCAAAACUUUUCUGUUGGCUGCUGCCUUCCUUUAUGUGCCAAAAGGAAUGUCUUUAAAUGCAACAAAAACAAUGGAGAAAAUUGAAGAUUGCUAUGAGCCAAAUCACAGCUAUAUUCAACAUCAUCAACAAUAAAAGUUGAUGUCUGAGAAACGUCCUUUUUUAGGAUACAUGAUGGUUUAGUGAUUAGGAGAGUACUCACUUAGGAAGUGGAAAACCUCCUUUUGCCUGGAGGGAUCUCUUAUGACAGCUCUCACACAUCAGCCUUUUCCUCCCAUGAAUUGCAAGGUGUUAUUAAGCCACUUUACAAUUCUUGUUGAAGCUGGACUGCUGUAAACCUGGAAAAGCAUGAGCUGUGAGAUCAGUGAGAAAGACUGAACCAAAGAGUGUAAAGAGGGCCCCUUUGCAGUGAGAGAUAUUUUUUAUAUAUUUUUUUUUUUCAUUUUGGUUAUAAGUUUAUUUCUAGUUUUAUCCAGGGACAAUCUACGAUAUAAAAUACUUAAACAGUCCCUGGAACAGAGAUCAGAACUCCAGAUAUUUCUUUGUUAAAUUAUAUAGAAUAAGUCAGUAGACCAUCAUACUUCACUUUGGUGUCAUUAAAUGUUAAAAGGAAAGGCUUGUGCUAUGAAUCUGACUUGUACUGAGGAAUAGAUAUGGAAUUCAAGCUGAUGUUCAGAGAACAGAGAAAUGAUAAACCUGUCUAUCUGCAUAAUUCUGACUUGCUCUGCACCAUCAUAUGAACAAUACAGAUCAUAUGAGAAGAGUGUAAUGACUCCUGUACUAAUGUGAAAUUUCCACAAAUAUACUCAUACUAAUUAUGCAAAGCAGUCAUAUCUUGUUAUUGAUAGAUGAAUUAAUGAAGUUCGAAAAUUUGUUCUGUAAUUAAUUUCCACUAGCCCUCAAAUAAUUUUAAUAGACAUUCCCUCCAAUUUUUCGUUUUAUAAAGAGUAAGACUUCAACAACAUCCAAGCAUGGUCUCAGUAUUGAUGAGAGGAGACAAGAAAUUAUUGCUUCAUGUCUUUUCACCACUACCCUGUUUAAUUUUUUUAGGGAUUUAUUUCAUUGAUUUUCUUGCUGGUGCAUCAGUGAAAAGGCUCACUAUUUUUUUGAUUAUCACCUAUCAUCUUCUCAUCUCUUUCACAGCAAUUUUUGUGUUGGUCACUUUACUCUGUAAAUGUGGUCUAAAUUAUUUAGUUCAAAACAAAUUAUUUUGUCUGUAUUAAUUUUUUUACCAUUCUUCUGAAUGUAACUGAGUGAUGAAAACUUGCAUUCGUACUAUGAAAGUCUGGAAAGCUGGGAUUUGACUAAUUACUAAAGGAAGUUGCAAUUAUGACAAAAAAGAGUGCUGCUCUGGAAUGAAUAUUCGUGUUUGAGACACAUUACAAAUAUUUCUUAUGUCUUCUGCCUACAGUUUUGGAAUAGACAAAAUGCUGG